rnacentral:tRNA from 1 species
UAGAGUGUGGUGUAGAGGGUAGCACGGAGAAUUUUGAGUUCUCAGGGUUAGGUUCGAGACCUAAGGCUCUAG